rnacentral:rRNA from 1 species
UACGGGGGGGGCAAGCGUUGUUCGGAAUUACUGGGCGUAAAGGGUUCGUAGGUGGCCAACUAAGUCAGACGUGAAAUCCCUCAGCUUAACUGGGGAACUGCGUCUGAUACUGGAUGGCUUGAGUGCAGGAGAGGAACGCGGAAUUCCAGGUGUAGCGGUGAAAUGCGUAGAUAUGACAUAGAACACCAAUUGCGAAGGCAGCUUACUACAUAGUUAUUGACACUGAGGCACGAAAGCGUGGGGAUCAAACAGG